UACGUAGGUGACAAGCGUUGUCCGGAUUUACUGGGCGUAAAGAGCGCGCAGGCGGUCGAUCAAGUCGAGUGUGAAAGCCCCCGGCUCAACUGGGGAGGGUCAUUCGAUACUGAUCGACUCGAAGGCAGGAGAGGGUAGUGGAAUUCCCGGUGUAGUGGUGAAAUGCGUAGUUAUCGGGAGGAACACCAGUGGCGAAGGCGACUACCUGGCCUGUUCUUGACGCUGAGGCGCGAAAGCUAGGGGAGCAAACGGG
rnacentral:rRNA from 1 species